rnacentral:misc_RNA from 1 species
ACGGUGCCAGCGAUGUCUUC